GGGUUGGACAAAGGCAUGCACAAAAUCUGUGAACAUUUUCUCCCAGAUGAGUUCUGUGGUGCCUACUAUCCAGGAAGACUCCCAGAAGCAGCUGUGGAGGUUUUUUCUCAAGAGUUUAACCUAUUUGAAUGGAAACAGAAAAGGAAAAAUAAAAGGCACAUUUUCGUCUUUCUGCUAUGCUACUUCUAUCAUGCUGAAGGAAUUCAGAAUGUAUCCAGCUGGCAAGUUUCUUUUCUGGGUCCUGUCAUUGGAAGUCACAACACUUUGUUAAAGCAUUUCUUAAAAAGAAUUAAAGAAGCAGUUUUCUGAAGGCUGCAGAGAGCCCGUGGAGGACUUAGUAGCUGAGGCAAAGCCUUAUAAUCACAAAUUGUAUGAAAUUGUGUCUGUACUUUAUUUUAUACUACACUGAACAAGGAUUGAAGUCAGAUUCCAAAUGGUGUAUUGUUCCUGAGUUGAAGGCUUUGACUGACAAACUUAAGACAUGGAAAAUAAACAGCAGGGAGAACAGCACCCAUCCUUGGCAUUGACCCCAUCCUUGUGUGGAAAGCAUCUCUAACACCAUCCCCUCAAGGCACCAGCCAAGCAUUUGAAGCCUCAACAAUAAAACUAGUUCUGAACCUGAUUCUUGUGAAGAACCGCUUUCCUUUGGAGGAAAAUUAUAUUCAACAAACAAGCAUAUUCAUUUUCAUUGCUACUAGUUAUGCUGCUGACUGGAGCACUCCAUCAUGGACCAUUUUGUUAGAGACAGCAAACCCUGCACCUGCAUGUCAUUACACCUGCACUGGCAAUGAGACAGCUGCUUUCCCACUGCUGCUGAAUAGCACCUCACUAGCAGAUAUUUAUUUCUGUGUACCUUCUACAUCUAUGGGAAAACACUGAUCAAGGACUGUUGCAAGAGAUCCGGAGUAAGACUUCAAAUUUGAAGUAGCCUUCACCCUGACAAGCAUCAGCAUCACCACUGGAGGAGGUUUUGCAAUGAAGUCCAGAAUCUUCAGUGAGAUUAUCACUGGCAGCUAGUUCAUUCUGCCUUGGGCAUCUUCCCAGCACACAAAAGAAGGAACUAAAAUAGCUUUACACAGCCUUUACAAAAUGUCAUGUUAAUGGUGAGCCACAGCUCUUGUAGCAGAUGACGACCUGGUAAAACCAUGGCCAGACAUGGGGUUAUCCCAUCCCAGCUGCAGUCUGCACCCAACAUUCAGUUCCAGUGCUGGAAGAAACAACCAUACUGUCCCAUACAUACUUCUUACACAUGAUGGACCUGGUCAUGUGGACACCUGCACAGUGGAAGAUUUCACUGGAAAUCUAUUUUACAAGAAAGAUGAAAAACUAUUUUUUAUCGUGUUGAUACAUCCUUUGAUGGCUUUUUCAGAGUAAAGUGCUUUGACUUCAACCAAUAGCUUUUAAUUGUGCUUUAACACACUUGUCUUGGAAAUAACUGUAAAAGGAAAAAAAGGAUUUUCUAUUCCUCUUAAGUGAUUUUGAAAAACAACCCAGUCAUUUGCUAAGCCUACAUUGCACUGAGCUUUCAUUUUUAGCACUAAAGUCACAACAAAUGCAAUGUGGCUUCUAGAACAAUGAAAGUUCUAAAAUUUCAGAUUGCAUUAC
rnacentral:lncRNA from 7 species